rnacentral:rRNA from 1 species
CCCCUAGAUGUUCUGGGCCGCACGCGCGCUACACUGAACAGUUCAACAAGUCUUAACCUUGGCCGAUAGGUCUGGGUAAUCUUUGAACGCUGUUCGUGAUUGGGAUAGACCUUUGCAAUUAUGGGUCUUCAACGAGGAAUUCCUAGUAAACGCAAGUCAUCAGCUUGCAUUGAUUACGUCCCUGCCCUUUGUACACACCGCCCGUCGCACCUACCGAUUGAAUGGUCCGGUGAAAUCUCGGGACGGCGGCUUGGUCGCUUGCGUCCGACUGCUGAAACUUGAUUAAACCAUAUCAUUUAGAGGAAGGUGAAGUCGUAACC